rnacentral:rRNA from 1 species
CUCGCGUGUCUAUUACCAGAAGCGACGGCAGGGUGAAGGCCAAGCUAAUGACCUUGCCUGACGAGCCGAGAGGUGGUGCAUGGCGAUCGUCAGUUCGUGGUGUGAACUAUCAGGUUAAGUCCUGUAACGAACGAGAUCCUCGUUGACAGUUGCUACUGUUCCAGAGAUGGAGCAGGCACUCUGUCGAGACCGCCUACGUUUAAGUAGGAGGAAGGAGAGGGCGACGAUACGUCAGUAUGCCCUGAAUCUCCUGGGCUACACGCGGCAUACAAAGGUCGAUACAAUGAGAUGCAAUGCCGAAAGGCAAAGCCAAACCCUAAACGACCUAAGUUCGGAUUGAGGGCUGAAACUCGCCCUCAUGAAGAUGGGAUCCCUAGUAAUCGCUUGUCACUAUCGAGCGGUGAAUACGUCCCU